rfam:Chelonia mydas contig212040, whole genome shotgun sequence.
GUCGGCUAUGGAGACAUGUGCCCUACCACGUUGGGUGGGAAGAUAGUGGGAACCCUGUGUGCUAUUGCGGGGGUGUUAACCAUCGCGCUUCCUGUCCCAGUCAUCGUCUCCAAC